rnacentral:rRNA from 1 species
GGCAGCAGCCGUACCACCUGCAGUUUAGGAACUUCCCCCUAAAGCUAAGCAGGUUUGGAUCUGGCCACUACUUGGAUGGGAGACCAACUAGGGAAGCUGGGUUGCUGCUGGAA